rnacentral:rRNA from 1 species
ACGGAGGAGGCAAGCGUUGUCCGGAAUCAUUGGGCGUAAAGAGCGCGUAGGCGGUUUUUCAAGUCAUAUGUGAAAACCUCAGGCUUAACUUGAGGAUUGCAUGUGAAACUGGAAAACUUGAGUGCAGUAGGGGAAAGUGGAAUUCCUGGUGUAGCGGUGAAAUGUGCAGAUAUCAGGAAGAACACCGGUAGCGAAGGCGGCUUUCUGGGCUGCUACUGACGCUGAGGCGCGAAAGCUAGGGGAGCAAACAGG